CAUGUUUUCCUGUAAGUAACCUAAAACAAGUAACCUAAAAAAGUUUAUUUUUCACAAUAAGAUGUUUUGUUACUUAUUUUUUGACUGUAUACAUAGAUGAAACAGACAUAAAUGAGAUUGAAACUGUCAAAGAUGAUAGUGAUAAUGAUGAUGACAUUGAGAUUGUUGUAGAAACCUCAGGUGAAAGCUUUCUGUUUGUUUAUCAAAGUGAAGAAAUGCAAAGAUUAUUAAAAAUGUAUGGCAAUGAAAUUACCCUUUUGGACGCAACAUAUAAAACAACCAAAUAUUCUUUACCCCUUUUUUUCCUUGUUGUAAAAACAAAUGUAGACUACCAAACUGUGGGUACUUUUGUUUGCAAAGGAGAAUCAGCAGUAAAUAUUCAAAAAGCUCUCAGUAAAAUAAAAGAGUGGAAUCCCAAUUGGAAUCCUACUUACUUAUGGUUGACUGUUGUGCAGAAGAGAUUAAUGCUAUUGAAUUUUUACAUCCAGAUUGCCAAGUUCUUGUAUGUGACUUUCAUCGCGAACAAGCAUGGGAACGGUGGUUUAAUAAAGUUAACAAUGGUGGUAGUGAAAUUAAAACAGUAAUGCUCUGCAAGCUAAGAAAGAUUGCUAGAGCUUAAUCUUAUAUAGAUUUAAAUAUAGCACUGGUAAAUUUGAGAGAGAGUGUUUAUUAUAAAAAUCCAAAUCACAAAAAUAUGGUUAACUGGCUAGAAAAGCAGUGGUUACCACAAAUUGAGAGAUGGGCAUAUUUUUAUCGUAAGGAUAGAUUAAUGGUAAGUAUUAAUACAAACAAUGGAGUUGAAAGACAGAAUAAAACAUUUAAACAUACUCACUUAAAAAAGCACCAAAACUCUUCCUUAUCUUCUAUGCUUACAAUACUUAUUGAAGAACAUUUUCCAGAUAUA
rnacentral:lncRNA from 1 species